GGGCCCGCACAAGCGGUGGAGCAUGUGGUUUAAUUCGAUGAUACGCGAGGAACCUUACCAGGGCUUAAAUGUAAGUUGCAUUAGUUAGAGAUAGCUAUUUCUUCGGACUACUUACAAGGUGCUGCAUGGUUGUCGUCAGCUCGUGCCGUGAGGUGUCAGGUUAAGUCCUAUAACGAGCGCAACCCCUGUUGUUAGUUGCCAUCGAGUCAUGUCGGGAACUCUAACAAGACUGCCGGUGCAAACCGUGAGGAAGGUGGGGAUGACGUCAAAUCAUCACGGCCCUUACGUCCUGGCUACACACGUGCUACAAUGGUAGGGACAGAGAGCAGCCACUACGCGAGUAGGAGCG
rnacentral:rRNA from 1 species